CUGUGCAUACGUGUUGCAUCAAGAAGAUGUGGCCGCCGAAUGAAUCGGCUUAUAAAUAACGAUCAAUUUCGUUUCAUCCUUGUUCUUUUCAGAUGGUGAUUUUGACGUGGUAGCUGGUUGUCAAAACGCAAUGCCUUUUUUUUUUUUUUUUUAUAAUUCUUUCUGGCAAACCAAGUAUAGCACAGCCAACUGAACCUCGCCUUGCCAACAGGUGUGAUAGACGUUCAAAUUGACAACGGAAACCGCCUGUAACUUGCCGUUUGACGAAGGCGUUCAGGAAAGAACGAAACCAGCCAAGAAGAUGCACGACGCUGGAAUGUAUUCAGCAUCAUCUCUGCAAUACGCAUUUUCCUGUUCAAUUUGACAUUGAUCGACAAAAGCCGGCCCUUCUAUUAAGAAGAGCAGUUCAUCUGGUCAUCAACUUCAUUGACAGAUGGUUUUGAUCGCUAAGGCUCAUGCAAAGACGCGUUGGGAAGGAAAGCAAAAAAAAUGGUCAAAUGGAAAGGAGAGACACGGUUGAUGAGAUGGGCCGAUUUGGUGAUUAAACUCUCGACACUAGCCUGAUCCAAUUCCUGUAAGAAGACACCCUGGUAUAGACAACGGGGUAUCCUGGUCGGGCACAGCCUUUAAAGAAAAGCGAACGGAAAAAAACAAAACAAACAUUGAUUUAGUUUGUGUUGUGGCUUGUGUGAGAGCAUACAAAGAAACGUACCAAUUCCAUGACUGACGAUGCCCAGCUGUACCCAAGGUGCAUCUGGUGACGUUCGGUUGUACAGCGGACCGCCGCUGUCGCUCUGCAAAAAAUGGCGAACGGGUGCUACGAUACCUGGCAAGUGUUGCUCUCGGGCGCGAUGGCGCACAGCAUGCUGCCGAUGAUGUUCGGAUAGCUUUCUUUGCAUUGGCCGUUGUCCAGUAUUUUGACGGUCGUGUGCUGAAGGGCAGUCGACGAGAAAAAGACACCUAGACGGUA